GGUAGCUCAUGAGCCAUAUCCAACAUAUUUUGUUUGGUUCACACAGUGUUAAUUUUUUUUUUAAUUGGCUGCCAACAUUUUUAAAAAUCAAGAGAUAUCUCUUAAAUUUUGUAAUUUCUGGCUUCCCUUGAAAAAUCAGAAAAUUUGGCAGUACUCAGCCUGUGCGCUCACAUGGUUCCCAGCUGACUUCAUCUGAAUGGCAGUGACUUCAUUGGCUCAGGCUGGUGGUCAGAAUAAGGAGAAGAAGGAGAAGAAAAGGAAGAGGAGGAGGAGGAGAAAUGCCAAUACCAGGGCUUUGAUGGGAAAUCCAGAAGAAAGAAUGUGUGAGGGAAGAAGAUGACAUCUGUGCCUGGCCAACAAAAUCCAAAGAUUAUUCCAGUGAAAACAAAAGGAAGGCGAGACUGAACUUUCUAGUUCAAGCUGUUGGCAGGUCGCACAGGGCUGGAACUGCGGCU
ensembl:lncRNA